rnacentral:tRNA from 1 species
ACAGUGGUGAUCCAGUGGCAGAAUACUUGCCUUCUAUGCAGAAUACCCAGGUUCAAUUCCUGGCCAAUGUA